rnacentral:lncRNA from 1 species
CCAAGGAAUAUGUGAUUGGGAGAAUGCGAUCUAAAGAAGUUAGAUUCAUGAGACCAUUCUUUCGUAGACACAACCUAAACGUUCCUGAUCAUAGGAUUGCCAAUUGGGCAUUGACAGUCCGUUAAGAUCAGUACGUGCUGUGUCUUCUCUCAGGGAGAGUGACUAAUCUCAAGUCAUUGGUGUGUGUGACAUCAAGACAAGUACGUAGGUGCUCAAUAGAGAAUGAGUUCACUGAACACGAUCAACGAAGAGUUCUCAUAUUCAUGUCACAUGAGAACUCAUGGUUGGGAUAAUGCAAAGUAGUCCUUUGACCUGAGGCAUCAUAGUUGUCUUGUAGUUAGGUACUUGAUCUUUGAUUAUGUCAAAGUCACCCCAUCCGCGGGUGUCCACGGCAUCGUCGGGGUUAAGCCACUUAGCCAUGGAGGCAAGUGAAUGCGCAACAAGGGAUCCCUAACCUUCAAACUGUUUUGGGGAGAAUACUCUAUGAUAUGAUUAAGAAUCUUUGGCCAGAGUAUGAAUGAGAUUUAGAAAGUCGUUCCAAAUCACAUUCAAGUUAAUCAUAUAAGCACACGAAUCACAUUGGAUGGUAGACAUGAAUAAACUAUCAAACCAAACAAUGUGGUCAAGAGUAUUGUAUUAGAGAAAGACCGUAUUGCAUUUGUAAUCCUAAACUGAAUAGGUUCUCCACCUCUUCUGAUUAGCUUGGGUAACCAUGAUAUGCUGUUAGGUGUCACUCAUGGUUUGUGGAAGCCCUAAACGUGUAUAAUCACUAAUGGGAGAAUUGAAAGUAAGUUUCAAUUCACAAUCGAUUUGAAAUGGUUUUAAUCGCCCACUGCCUCGCU